UAAUUGAAGAGUUUGAUCAUGGCUCAGAUUGAACGCUGGCGGCAGGCCUAACACAUGCAAGUCGAGCGGUAACAGGGGAAGCUUGCUUCCCGCUGACGAGCGGCGGACGGGUGAGUAAUGUAUGGGGAUCUGCCCGAUAGAGGGGGAUAACUACUGGAAACGGUAGCUAAUACCGCAUAAUCUCUCAGGAGCAAAGCAGGGGAACUUCGGUCCUUGCGCUAUCGGAUGAACCCAUAUGGGAUUAGCUAGUUGGUGAGGUAAUGGCUCACCAAGGCGACGAUCCCUAGCUGGUCUGAGAGGAUGAUCAGCCACACUGGGACUGAGACACGGCCCAGACUCCUACGGGAGGCAGCAGUGGGGAAUAUUGCACAAUGGGCGCAAGCCUGAUGCAGCCAUGCCGCGUGUAUGAAGAAGGCCCUAGGGUUGUAAAGUACUUUCAGUCGGGAGGAAGGCGCUGAUGCUAAUAUCAUCA
rnacentral:rRNA from 1 species